UACGUAGGUGACAAGCGUUGUCCGGAUUUACUGGGCGUAAAGAGCGCGCAGGCGGUCGAUCAAGUCGAGUGUGAAAGCCCCCGGCUCAACUGGGGAGGGUCAUUCGAUACUGAUCGACUCGAAGGCAGGAGAGGGUAGUGGAAUUCCCGGUGUAGUGGUGAAAUGCGUGGAUAUCGGGAGGAACACCAGCGGCGAAGGCGACUACCUGGCCUGUUCUUGACGCUGAGGCGCGAAAGCUAGGGGAGCAAACGGG
rnacentral:rRNA from 1 species